rnacentral:misc_RNA from 1 species
ACAUCAAACAGGUCAUCCCCCGAGUGACGUUGGACACAGGAAUCUUCAUACUUGUUAUUUUCAAGUAAUGCACUCUGCCCCACAUAUUCAUGUUUUUCAACACAAACCUCUUGCACCGACUUGCUUGUACUGCAUGGGUGCUCAUUCUGUGUUAGCAUAAUUCCAAGUGCUUGAAACAAAUCAUUUUCGACUAUUCCAUUACUCUCAUCCCACAUAAAUUGUGCAUUCUGACCAUCAGAAAUAUGACUAGUACUCGAAUCAUCCCCGACAUUAAAUUUUGACGUAGUUUGAAGCCCAUUUCCAGUCGACUUUGUGCAAGAACUGAUUAUGUUUGACAGUCCAUUGGCAUCAGCAAUUGAAUUGGGGCAUGGAAUUGAUCGGUGAUGCCCAUCCCUUCGUUUACAUAGUUCAUUUUCUCCGUUGGAUGGAGAAAUUGAAUUUCCAUGAUAACUAGAGAUCAGGACAUCA